UCCCGAGUAGCUCAGUUGGUAGAGCAGCCGGCUGUUAACCGGCGGGUCGGGGGUUCGAGUCCCUCCUCGGGAGCCA
rnacentral:tRNA from 1 species